ensembl:snRNA LOC120103228 U6 spliceosomal RNA
AUGCUUACUUUGCAAGCAUGUAUAUUAAAAUUGGGUAACAUAGAGAAAGUUAGCAUGACCCCUGCACAAGGUGACAUGCAAAUUCUUUCAACAUUACAUAUUUGU